AAGUCGUAACAAGGUUUCCGUAGGUGAACCUGCGGAAGGAUCAUUAACAAAUCUUUAAACAAACCUUUGUGAAUAAGGGGGAGGAUAUAUUAUAAUCAUCCUUCUCCUAGAAACAUAUAUACCAAAAAAAAAGUCUAUAAAUAAUUUAUAAAAAUAAUUUAAAUACAACUUUUAACAAUGGAUCUCUUGGCUCUU
rnacentral:misc_RNA from 1 species